rnacentral:rRNA from 1 species
AUUGAACGCUGGCGGCAGGCCUAACACAUGCAAGUCGAACGAGUGGCGGCCGGGUGAGGAAUACAUCGGUAUCUACUCUGUCGUGGGGGAUAACGUAGGGAAACUUACGAUAAUACCGCAUACGAAUGAAUGAGCCGAUGUCGGAUUAGCGAGUUGGCGGGGUAAAGGCCCACCAAGGCGACGAUCCGUAGCUGGUCUGAGAGGAUGAUCAGCCACACUGGAACUGAGACACGGUCCAGACUCCUACGGGAGGCAGCAGUGGGGAAUAUUGGACAAUGGGCGGAAGCCUGAUCCAGCCAUACCGCGUGGGUGAAGAAGGCCUUCGGGUUGUAAAGCCCUUUUGUUGGGAAAGCGAUACCCAAAGAAUAAGCACCGGCUAACUACGUGCCAGCCGCCGCGGUAAUUC